CGGACGGGUGAGUAACGCGUGGGUAACCUGCCUUAUACAGGGGGAUAACAGCUGGAAACGGCUGCUAAUACCGCAUAAGCGCACGAGGAGACAUCUCCUUGUGUGAAAAACUCCGGUGGUACAGGAUGGGCCCGCGUCUGAUUAGCUGGUUGGCAGGGUAACGGCCUACCAAGGCAACGAUCAGUAGCCGGUCUGAGAGGAUGAACGGCCACAUUGGAACUGAGACACGGUCCAAACUCCUACGGGAGGCAGCAUG
rnacentral:rRNA from 1 species